AAGCAACACUCUGUGGCAGAUGACCAAAACUAUCUGACAAGAUCUGAGCUGGCUAUAGCAAUAAAGUUGAAUCUUUUCUAAUGCUCUCUCCUCUGUGAGACAAGCUGUUACAUAGACUUAGAUGGU